GUUCCCGAUGAUGUACGAAUUUGACCAUGCUAAUUCUGAUAUUGAUGAAACAUUUUUCUGUCAUUUCUGAGGGGACA
rfam:Helianthus annuus linkage group 13, whole genome shotgun sequence.